rnacentral:rRNA from 1 species
AGGAAAAGAAAUCAACCGAGAUUCCCCCAGUAGCGGCGAGCGAACGGGGAGGAGCCCAGAGCCUGAAUCAGCAUGUGUGUUAGUGGAAGCGUCUGGAAAGGCGCGCGAUACAGGGUGACAGCCCCGUACACAAAAGCGCAUGUGCUGUGAGCUCGAUGAGUAGGGCGGGACACGUGGUAUCCUGUCUGAAUAUGGGGGGACCAUCCUCCAAGGCUAAAUACUCCUGACUGACCGAUAGUGAACCAGUACCGUGAGGGAAAGGCGAAAAGAACCCCGGCGAGGGGAGUGAAAAAGAACCUGAAACCGUGUACGUACAAGCAGUGGGAGCACAGGUUUACCUGUGUGACUGCGUACCUUUUGUAUAAUGGGUCAGCGACUUAUAUUCUGUAGCAAGGUUAACCGUAUAGGGGAGCCGGAGGGAAACCGAGUCUUAACCGGGCGUUAAGUUGCAGGGUAUAGACCCGAAACCCGGUGAUCUAGCCAUGGGCAGGUUGAAGGUUGGGUAACACUAACUGGAGGACCGAACCGACUAAUGUUGAAAAAUUAGCGGAUGACCUGUGGCUGGGGGUGAAAGGCCAAUCAAACCGGGAGAUAGCUGGUUCUCCCCGAAAGCUAUUUAGGUAGCGCCUCGUGAAUUCAUCUCCGGGGGUAGAGCACUGUUUCGGCUAGGGGGCCAUCCCGGCUUACCAACCCGAUGCAAACUGCGAAUACCGGAGAAUGU